rnacentral:tRNA from 1 species
GGGGUUGUGGCUCAGCGGCAGAGCGCGUGCCUAGCGUGCAUGAGGUGCUGGGUUUGAUUCUCAGCACCG